rnacentral:rRNA from 1 species
GCGUAAUAGCUCACUGGUCGAGUCGGCCUGCGCGGAAGAUGUAACGGGGCUAAACCAUGCACCGAAGCUGCGGCAGCGACACUGUGUGUUGUUGGGUAGGGGAGCGUUCUGUAAGCCUGCGAAGGUGGCCUGUGAGGGUUGCUGGAGGUAUCAGAAGUGCGAAUGCUGACAUAAGUAACGAUAAAGCGGGUGAAAAGCCCGCUCGCCGGAAGACCAAGGGUUCCUGUCCAACGUUAAUCGGGGCAGG